UGAAGGACUUUGAUUUACCAUUGUAAAAUUUCGAUAUGCCUCUCCUUAUGGGUAAAGCCUCCUCCAAGGAAUCCAUAGAAUCAAACGUCCCUUUGUACGCGCUUUGCACUUCAUUUUCCUCCUCACAAUUCUCGCCAUCCAACGACUCUCUCCCCGAUAGAUCGCUAUUCUUUCCAAUGGACGACGUCGUCGAGGACGCCGAUGAGCUACAUUGAUUCACUUCCACCCUCUCCUCCUCACCCUCCUCCUUAUCAACCAAUCCACUCUCCGCUGGCGACUCGAAGAUCCCGGGCUUGGCGAUGCACGCGAUCCCUCCGCGCGCAUAUCCGGAACGUUGGAUCUCUCUCAUCCUCUACUAAUCUCCAAAGCUGAAGACA
rnacentral:misc_RNA from 1 species